CCUACGGGAGGCAGCAGUAGGGAAUCUUCCGCAAUGGACGAAAGUCUGACGGAGCAACGCCGCGUGAGUGAUGAAGGCUUUCGGGUCGUAAAACUCUGUUGUUAGGGAAGAACAAGUACGAGGGAGGUAACUGCUCGUACCUUGACGGUACCUAACCAGAAAGCCACGGCUAACUACGUGCCAGCAGCCGCGGUAAUACGUAGGUGGCAAGCGUUAUCCGGAAUUAUUGGGCGUAAAGCGCGCGCAGGCGGUUUCUUAAGUCUGAUGUGAAAGCCCACGGCUCAACCGUGGAGGGUCAUUGGAAACUGGGGAACUUGAGUGCAGAAGAGAAAAGCGGAAUUCCACGUGUAGCGGUGAAAUGCGUAGAGAUGUGGAGGAACACCAGUGGCGAAGGCGGCUUUUUUGGUCUGUAACUGACGCUGAGGCGCGAAAGCGUGGGGAGCAAACAGGAUUAGAUACCCUGGUAGUCCACGCCGUAAACGAUGAGUGCUAAGUGUUAGAGGGUUUCCGCCCUUUAGUGCUGCAGCUAACGCAUUAAGCACUCCGCCUGGGGAGUACGGUCGCAAGACUGAAACUCAAAGGAAUUGACGGGGGCCCGCACAAGCGGUGGAGCAUGUGUGGUUUAAUUCGAAGCAACGCGAAGAACCUUAC
rnacentral:rRNA from 1 species